GCUGAUGUGCGUGAUGACUAAAACUUUUUUCCCCAGCAGAGCGACACUGUUGACUUUGCUGUUUUAGCCAGAUCUUGUCUGAUACAUCAGU